GAUGAACGCUGGCGGCGUGCCUAAUACCUGCAAGUCGAACGAAGUGGGGACGGGUGAGUACCACGUGGGUAACCUCCCAUCAGAGGGGAUAAAACUUGGAAACAGGUGCUAAACCGAUACUGAUGGAUGGACCCGCGGUGCAUUAGCUAGUUGGUGAGGUAACGGCUAACCAAGGCAACGAUGCAUAGCCGACCUGAGAGGGUGAUCGACCACAUUGGAACUGAGACACGGCCCAGACUCCUACGGGAGGCAGCAGUAGGGAAUCUUCGGCAAUGGACGAAAGUCUUACCGAGCAACGCCGCUUGAGUGAAGAAGGUUUUCGGAUCGUAAAACUCUGUUGUUAGAGAAGCGGUAUCUAACCAGAAAGCCACGGCUAACUACGUGCCAGCAGCCGCGGUAAUAC
rnacentral:rRNA from 1 species